rnacentral:rRNA from 1 species
UACGGAGGGGGCUAGCGUUGUUCGGAAUUACUGGGCGUAAAGUGCACGUAGGCGGGUUGUUAAGUCAGGGGUGAAAUCCUGGAGCUCAACUCCAGAACUGCCUUUGAUACUGGCAACCUAGAGACUGGAAGAGGUUAGUGGAAUUCCCAGUGUAGAGGUGAAAUUCGUAGAUAUUGGGAAGAACACCAGUGGCGAAGGCGGCUAACUGGUCCAGUACUGACGCUGAGGUGCGAAAGCGUGGGGAGCAAACAGG